rnacentral:rRNA from 1 species
AUGUCGACCACAGGAAUGAAGACUGUGUCAUGCCCCAUUGUUGACGGUCAUGAGUAUCCCAAGUGGAAGGCCAUGAUGAAAAAGCGCCUCAUGGCGAUGAACAGCGAGCUGUGGACCGUCACUGAGAUUGGUCUUAUCGAUCUGUGCAAGAUGGAGGAAGCUGAUGACAUUCGCAAGUACACUUUUCUCAACCUCACGGCGAAGGACGUCAUCUGCUCUUGUUUGUCUCAAAAUCAGUUUAGGAACAUCAUGCAUCUCGAUCAUGCAAAGCUUAUCUGGGACCGUCUCUCUGAGGUCUAUGAAGGUCAUCGAACCCGUCAUGAUCCUUGGUUUGAGGACUUCAAGGAAUCUCUCAAAGCGAUGACAUUCGAACUAGAAUCAUCAUCUACUACACCAUGCCUUAUGGCAAAAGGUGCAAAGGUAACUGAAUGCUAUCUAUCCGAAUCAAGUGAUGAUGAAUCUGGUGAUGAAUUUGGACCCAGCUAUGUAAAACUUGCUUCCCUUGCCACUAAACAACAAAGAGCUUUAGAAAAAGUUCAAUACAUGCUAAAUAAGAGCGAUGAUAUGUUGGGUGAAGAAAUGGACCAGUCGAAAGCUUUGGCUGAAAGUCUUCAGAGACUUCAGUCUAAGUUUGACAACCUUCAAGGUCAUCAUAACACUCUCUUAUCUGAUCAUGAGAAGUUUUCUUAUGAAUUUCUUCAAAGAAAGCAAGAUCUUGAAAAGCUAAGAGUGAGUUAUGAAGAUCUUCAGAAGGAGCGCGAUUCAUUACUUGCUCAACAAAUCAGCGCUUCUCAGGAAGAAUUUGUUCCUCCAUGUUUGAAGUGCAUUGAACGUGAAUUUGCUAAUUCUUCACCUGAAUGUUCAAAUGCUUCUAAUGCUACAAAUUCUUCACCUGUCUCUGCUAUCACUAAUUCAUCACCUGAAGACAUUGCUAGUAUCACUGAUGAUGUAGGGCUGAAGGAAUUGUACAUGACAGGCAUGUACAAAAGCCUCAAGGGGCAUCAGACUCUUUGUGAUGUGCUUAAAAAGCAGAUCCUCAACAGGAACCCUAGGAAAGAGGGUAUUGCCUUUGAGAGGAAACUCAAUGCUGAUGGUACUUAUUGGAAGCCUGAGCAGUACCCCAAAACCUCAUGGGUUGCUGCAAAGGGACCUCCAGUUGAUCCAUCCAAUUUAUCUGGCUUUAUAUGUGAAUCUCCUCAUUCUUCUAAUGGGUCAUUUGACUCCAACUAUAAAUUGUUCAAAAAUCAGAAUGGUGAAGUAUUUGCUAGAUGUGUUGGCACUAACUGCAGGAACGGUUCCCCUAUGAAGAAAAUCUGGGUUCCCAAAAGGUGCCUCAAAAAUCUUCAGGUGAAUGUCAUCAUGACACCACCUGUGAAGAAUAGGAAACCCAAAUCAAAAUCUUCAUAUGGACCAAAUUCUUCAUAUGGAUCCAAAUCCUCAUACGGACCAAAUUCCUCACGUGGAUCAAAUUCUUCGAAAGGAUCAAAGUCCUCAUAUGAUCAUCAUCGUGCUAACACCUUUGUUUCGCAGGAAAGAGCAAAUGGCUAUGAAUAUGAGCAUUAUUCUUCUAAUCAUUAUGUUCAUAAGUCCUUGAAGAAUUUCUCUGCUUAUUCAUAUGCUUAUCCUAACUCCUCUUAUGUGAAACAAAGUGGACUGGCUUCUAUGCCACCUUUCUCGUAUAGAGCUCCCAGAGUGAUGAACUCUUUGCCACCCCUUCAGAUGUGGGUGGUGAAUAAAAAGAACUAA